CCGGGGCCCUGCUGGACUGCAGCGGGCUGGGGCUGGCCGCGCUGCCCGAGGAGCUCCCCGCGUGGACCGUCACACUAAACCUGAGCAACAACAAGUUGACAGAAGUCAAUCCUGCUGCUUUUGAGCACUUGGUGAACCUCCAGGAAGUGCACCUGAAUAACAAUGAGCUAACAAUCAUCCCUUCCCUGGGCACUGCCUCCUCCCGAAUCUUGUCUCUCUAUCUG